GACGAACCGUCCAAACGUUGUUCGGAAUCACUGGGCUUAAAGGGCGCGUAGGCGGGCAUUCAAGUCGGUGGUGAAAUCCUCCAGCUUAACUGGAGAAGAGCUGUCGAUACUGGAUGUCUCGAGGGGUGCAGGGGUCUGCGGAACUUCGGGUGGAGCGGUGAAAUGCGCAGAUAUCAGGAGGAACACCGGUGGCGAAGGCGGUUCUCUGGGCAUUACCUGACGCUGAGGAGCGAAAGUGUGGGGAGCGAACAGG
rnacentral:rRNA from 1 species